rnacentral:rRNA from 1 species
UACGUAAGGUGCGAGCGUUGUCCGGAAUUAUUGGGCGUAAAGGGCUCGUAGGCGGUUUGUCGCGUCGGGAGUGAAAACCUCGGGCUUAACUCGGGGCUUGCUUUCGAUACGGGCAGACUAGAGGUAUGCAGGGGAGAACGGAAUUCCUGGUGUAGCGGUGAAAUGCGCAGAUAUCAGGAGGAACACCGGUGGCGAAGGCGGUUCUCUGGGCAUGAUCUGACGCUGAGGAGCGAAAGUGUGGGGAGCGAACAGG